ACUCCUACGGGAGGCAGCAGUGGGAAUCUUAGACGAAUGGGGAAACCCUGAUCUAGCCAUGCCGCGUGAGCGAUGAAGGCCUUAGGGUUGUAAAGCUCUUUCAGCGGGAAGAUAAUGACGGUACCCGCAGAAGAAGCCCCGGCUAACUCCGUGCCAGCAGCCGCGGUAAUACGGAGGGGCUAGCGUUGUUCGGAAUUACUGGGCGUAAAGCGCGCGUA
rnacentral:rRNA from 1 species